UACAGAGGUCCCAAGCGUUGUUCGGAUUCAUUGGGCGUAAAGGGUGUGUAGGUGGCGCCGUAAGUCGGGUGUGAAAUCUCGGGGCUUAACUCCGAAACUGCAUUCGAUACUGCGGUGCUUGAGGACUGGAGAGGAGACUGGAAUUCAUGGUGUAGCAGUGAAAUUCGUAGAUAUCGGGAGGAACACCAGUGGCGAAGGCGGCGAUCUGGGAAGAUACUGACGCUGAGGUGCGAAAGCGUGGGGAGCAAACAGG
rnacentral:rRNA from 1 species